AUUAAGGUAAUACCCGGGUAUUGGAUUACAGGGCUCGGGUCAGGUUUAAGCUUUUUGGCGUUAGUGUUAAAUUCACUGUCCAAAACAUUUUUAGGAACAUGAUUCAGACUUUUUGGAGUUAGUAAGACCGAAAAAAAAAUGAAAAUGAAAAAAAAAUUUUGGGGGGUGUUAAGGCUUCCUUAGGUUACAGGGCUGGGGGAAAAGUUUAAGGUUUUUGGCGUUAGGGUUAAAAUCACUGUCCAAAACCUUUUUAGGAACUCUUUUCCAACCUUUUGGAGUUAGCUGGACCAAAAAAAAAAACGAAAAAUGAAAAAAAAAAAAAUUGGUGGUAAUAAGGCUUCCUUUAGGUAAUACCCGGGUAAUAGGUUAUGGGGCUGGGUACGGUUUAACGUUUUAAGCGUUAGGGUUAAAAUCACUGUCCUAUAUUUUUUUUUUUAGAAACGUGUUUCAGACCUUUUGGAGUUAGUUUGACCAAAAAAAAAAAAAAAAAAAAAAAGUAAAAAUGACAUAAAAAAUGUUUGGGGUGUUAAGGCUUCCUUAAGGUAACACCCGGGUAUUGGAUUACAGGGCUCAAGUCAGGUUUAAGCUUUUUGGCGUUAGUGUUAAAAUCACUGUCCAAAACCUUUUAAGGGACAUGAUUCAGACUUUUUGGAGUUAGACUGAAAAAAAAAAAGAAAAAUGAAAAAAAAAAAAGUUUGGGGUGUUAAGGCUUUCUUAAGGUAAUGCCCGGGUAUUAGGUUACGGGGCUAGGGUAAGGUUUAAGGUUUUUGGUGUUAGGGUUAAAAUCACUGUCCAAAACCUUUGUAGGAACUCUUUUCCAACCUUUUGGAGUUAGUUAGACAAAUAAAAAAAAGGAAAAAUGAAAAAAAAAUUUUGGGGACUUUAAGGCUUCUGUAAGGUAACACCUGGGUGUUAGGUUAUGGGGUUAGGGCAAGGUUUAAGGUUUUUAGCGUGAGAGUUAAAAUCACUGUCCAAAUCCUUUUUAGGAACUCUUUUCCAACCUUUUGGAGUUAGUUAGACCAAAAAAAAAUGUAAAAUGAAAAAAAAAAAUUUGGGGUGGUCGUGCUUCCUGAAGGUAACACCCGGGUAUUAGGUUACAGGGCUAGGUAAAGGUUAAAGGUUUUUGGUGUUAAGGUUAAAAUUACUGUCCAAAACCUUUUUAGGAACUCUUUUCCAACCUUUUGGAGUUAAUAAGACCAAAAAAAAAACAAAAAAUGAAAAAAAAAAAUUGGUGGUAAUUAGGCUUCCUUUAGGUAAUACCCAGGUAAUAGGUUAUGGGGCUAGGGUAAGGUUUGACGUUUUUAGCGUUAGGGUAACAAUCACUGUCCUAUAUAUUUUUUUUUUAGAAACAUGUUUCAGACCUUUUGGAGUUAGUUAGACCAAAAAAAAAAAUGAAAAAUGAAAUAAAAUAUGUUUGGGGUGUUAAGGCUUCCUUAAGGUAACACCCGGGUAUUGGAUUACAGGGCUCGGGUCAGGUUUAAGCCUUUUGGCGUUAGUGUUAAAAUCACUGUCCAAAACCUUUUAAGGGACAUGAUUCAGACUUUUUGGAGUUAGUUAGACCAAAAAAAAUGUAAAAUGAAAAAAAAAUGUUUGGGGUGUUAAGGCUUCCUUAAGGUAAUGCCCGGGUAUUAGGUCACAGGGCUAGGGUAAAGUUUAAGGUUUUUUUAUAGUGAGGGUUAAAAUCACUCUCCAAUAUUUUUUAGGAACAUGUUUCAGACCUUUUGGAGUUAGUUAGACCAAAAAAAUACGAAAAAUGAAAAAAAUAAUUUUUGGGGGUGUUAAGGCUUCCUUAAGGUAAUACCUGGGUAUUAGGUUACGGGGCUAGGGCAAGGUUUAAGGUUUUUUUAUCGUGAGGGUUAAAAUCACUGUCCAAUACCUUUUAAGGAACAUGUUUCAGACUUUUUGGAGUUAGUUAGACCAAAAAAAAAUGUAAAAUGAAAAAAAAUAUUUUGGGGGUUGUAGGGCUUCCUUUUUUUAAUACCCAGGUUUUAGGUUAUGGGGUUAGGUAAAGGUUAAAGGUUUUUGGCAUUAGGGGAAAAAUCACUGUCCAAAACCUUUUUAGGAACAAGUUUCAGACCUUUUGGAGUUAGUUAGACCAAAGAAAAAUGUAAAAUUAAAAAAAAAUAUUUGGGGUGUUCGGGCUUCCUGAAGGUAAUACCCGGGUAUAAGGUUACGGGGCUAGGGUAAGGUUUAAGGUUUUUUAUAUUGAGGGUUAAAAUCACUGUCCAAGAUUUUUUAAGGAACAUGUUUCAGACCUUUUGGAGUUAGUUAGACCAAAAAAAAUGUAAAAUGAAAAAAAAAAUUUUGGGGGUGUUCGGGCUUCCUGAAGGUAAUACCCGUGUAUUAGGUUAUGGGGUUAGGGUAAGGUUUAAGGUUUUUGGUGUUAGGGUUAAGAUCACUGUCCAAAACCUUUUUAGGAACCGUUUUCCAACCUUUUGGAGUUAGCUGGACCAAAAAAAAAAACGAAAAAUGAAAAAAAAAAUUUUCGGGUGUGAAGGCUUCCUUAAGGUCGUAUUAGGUUACGGGGCUAGGGUCAGGUUUAAGGUUUUUAGCGUUAGGGUUAAUAUCACUGUCCAAUAUUUUUUAAGGAACAUGUUUCAGACCUUUUGGAGUUAGUUAGACCAAAAAAAUUUAAUAAUGAAAAAAAAAUGUUUGGGGUGUAAAGGCUUCCUUAAGGUAAUACCCGGGUAUUAGGUUAAGGGGCUUGGGUAAGGUUUAAGGUUUUUGGCGUUAGGGUUAAAAUCACUGUCCAAUAUUUUUUAAGGAACAUGUUUCAGACCUUUUGGAGUUAGUUAGACCAAAAAAAUUGAAUAAUGAAAAAAAAAUGUUUGGGGUGUAAAGGCUUCCUUAAGGUAAUACCCGGGUAUUAGGUUAAGGGGCUAGGGUAAGGUUUAAGGUUUUUGGCGUUAGGGUUAAAAUCACUGUCCAAAACCUUUGUAGGAACUCUUUUCCAACCUUUUGGAGUUAGUUAGUCAAAAAAAAAAAAAAAAAAAAAGGAAAUAAAUUUUUUUUGGGGUGUUAAGGCUUCCUGAAGGUAAUACCCGGGUAUUAGGUUAAGGGGCUAGGGUACGGUUUAAGGUUUUUGUCGUUAGGGUUAAAAUCACUGUCCAAACCUUUGUAGGACCUCUUUUCCAACCUUUUGGAGUUAGCUUGACCGAAAAAAAAAAUGAAAAAUGAAAUAAAAGUUUUUUGGGGUGGUAGGGCUUCCUUUAGGUAAUAACCGGGUAUUAGUUUACAGGGCUAGGUAAAGGUUAAAGGUUUUUGGCGUUAGGGUUAAAAUCACUGUCCAAAACCUUUUUAGGAACAAGUUUCAGACCUUUUGGAGUUAGUUAGACCAAAAAAAAUGUAAUAUGAAAAAAAAUAUAUUUGGGGUGUUCAGGCUUCCUGAAGGUAAUACCCGGGUAUAAGGUUACGGGGCUAGGGUAAGGUUUAAGGUUUUUUAUAUUGAGGGUUAAAAUCACUGUCCAAGAUUUUUUAAGGAACAUGUUUAAGACCUUUUGGAGUUAGUUAGACCAAAAAAAAUGUAAAAUGAAAAAAAUAUAUUUGGGGUGUUCAGGCUUCCUGAAGGUAAUACCCGUGUAUUAGGUUAUGGGGUUAGGGUAAGGUUUAAGGUUUUUGGCGUUAGGGUUAAGAUCACUGUCCAAAACCUUUUUAAAAACCGUUUUCCAACCUUUUGGAGUUAGCUGGACCAAAAAAAAAAAAACGAAAAAUGAAAAAAAAUUGUUUGGGGUGUGAAGGCUUCCUUAAGGUCAUACCCGGGUAUUAGGUUACGGGGCUAGGGUAAGGUUUAAGGUUUUUAGCGUUAGGGUUAAUUUCACUGUCCAAUAUUUUUUUAGGAACAUGUUUCAGACCUUUUGGAGUUUCACCAGAAAAAAAACGAAAAAUAAUAAAAAAAAACUUUUGGUGUGUUAGGGCAUCCCUUAAGUAAUACCCGGGUAUUAGGUUACAGGGCUAGGUAAAGGUUAAAGGUUUUUGGCGUUAGGGUUAAAAUCACUGUCCAAUAUUUUUUAAGGAACAUGUUUCAGACCUUUUGGAGUUAGUUAGACCAAAGAAAAUUGAAUAAUGAAAAAAGAAUGUUUGGGGUGUAAAGGCUUCCUUAAGGUAAUACCCGGGUAUUAGGUUAAGGGGCUAGGGUCAGGUUUAAGGUUUUUGUCGUUAGGGUUAAAAUCACUGUCCAAACCUUUGUAGGACCUCUUUUCCACCCUUUUGGAGUUAGCUUGACCAAAAAAAAUGAAAUAAAAGUUUUUUGGGGUGGUAGGACUUCCUUUAGGUAAUAACCGGGUAUUAGUUUACAGGGCUAGGUAAAGGUUAAAGGUUUUUAGCGUUAGGGUUAAUUUCACUGUCCAAUAUUUUUUUAGGAACAUGUUUCAGACCUUUUGGAGUUUGACCAGAAAAAAAACGAAAAAUAAAAAUAAAAAACUUUUGGUGUGUUAGGGCAUCCCUUAGGUAAUACCCGGGUAUUAGGUUACAGGGCUAGGUAAAGGUUAAAGGUUUUUGGCGUUAGGGUUAAAAUCACUGUCCAAUAUUUUUUAAGGAACAUGUUUCAGACCUUUUGGAGUUAGUUAGACCAAAAAAAAUUGAAUAAUGAAAAAAAAAUGUUUGGGGUGUUCAGGCUUCCUGAAGGUAAUACCCGGGUAUUAGGUUAAGGGGCUAGGGUACGGUUUAAGGUUUUUGUCGUUAGGGUUAAAAUCACUGUCCAAACCUUUGUAGGACCUCUUUUCCAACCUUUUGGAGUUAGCUUGACCAAAAAAAAAAAGAAAAAUGAAAUAAAAGUUUUUUGGGGUGGUAGGGCUUCCUUUAGGUAAUAACCGGGUAUUAGUUUACAGGGCUAGGUAAAGGUUAAAGGUUUUUAGCGUUAGGGUUAAAAUCACUGUCCAAAACCUUUUUAGGAACAUGUUUCAGACCUUUUGGAGUUAGUUAGACCAAAAAAAAUGUAAUAUGAAAAAAAAUAUGUUUGGGGUGUUCAGGCUUCCUGAAGGUAAUACCCGGGUAUAAGGUUACGGGGCUAGGGUAAGGUUUAAGGUUUUUUAUAUUGAGGGUUAAAAUCACUGUCCAAGAUUUUUUAAGGAACAUGUUUAAGACCUUUUGGAGUUAGUUAGACCAAAAAAAAUGUAAAAUGAAAAAAAUAUAUUUGGGGUGUUCAGGCUUCCUGAAGGUAAUACCCGUGUAUUAGGUUAUGGGGUUAGGGUAAGGUUUAAGGUUUUUGGCGUUAGGGUUAAGAUCACUGUCCAAAACCUUUUUAGGAACCGUUUUCCAACCUUUUGGAGUUAGCUGGACCAAAAAAAAAAAACGAAAAAUGAAAAAAAAAUUGUUUGGGGUGUGAAGGCUUCCUUAAGGUCAUACCCGGUAUUAGGUUACGGGGCUAGGGUAAGGUUUAAGGUUUUUAGCGUUAGGGUUAAUUUCACUGUCCAAUAUUUUUUUAGGAACAUGUUUCAGACCUUUUGGAGUUUGACCAGAAAAAAAACGAAAAAUAAAAAUAAAAAACUUUUGCUGUGUUAGGGCAUCCCUUAGGUAAUACCCGGGUAUUAGGUCACAGGGCUAGGUAAAGGUUAAAGGUUUUUGGCGUUAGGGUUAAAAUCACUGUCCAAUAUUUUUUAAGGAACAUGUUUCAGACCUUUUGGAGUUAGUUAGACCAAAGAAAAUUGAAUAAUGAAAAAAGAAUGUUUGGGGUGUAAAGGCUUCCUUAAGGUAAUACCCGGGUAUUAGGUUAAGGGGCUAGGGUCAGGUUUAAGGUUUUUGGCGUUAGGGUUAAAAUCACUGUCCAAACCUUUGUAGGACCUCUUUUCCAACCUUUUGGAGUUAGCUUGACCAAAGAAAAUUGAAAUAGAAGUUUUUUGGGGUGGUAGGGCUUCCUGAAGGUAUUACCCGGGUAUUAGUUUACAGGGCUAGGUAAAGGUUAAAGGUUUUUGGCGUUAGGGUUAAAAUCACUGUCCAAACCUUUGUAGGACCUCUUUUCCAACCUUUUGGAGUUAGCUUGACCGAAAAAAAAUGAAAAAUGAAAUAAAAGUUUUUGGGGUGGUAGGGCUUCCUUUAGGUAAUAACCGGGUAUUAGUUUACAGGGCUAGGUAAAGGUUAAAGGUUUUUGGCGUUAGGGUUAAAAUCACUGUCCAAAACCUUUUUAGGAACAAGUUUCAGACCUUUUGGAGUUAGUUAGACCAAAAAAAAUGUAAUAUGAAAAAAAAUAUAUUUGGGGUGUUCAGGCUUCCUGAAGGUAAUACCCGGGUAUAAGGUUACGGGGCUAGGGUAAGGUUUAAGGUUUUUUAUAUUGAGGGUUAAAAUCACUGUCCAAGAUUUUUUAAGGAACAUGUUUAAGACCUUUUGGAGUUAGUUAGACCAAAAAAAAUGUAAAAUGAAAAAAAUAUAUUUGGGGUGUUCAGGCUUCCUGAAGGUAAUACCCGUGUAUUAGGUUAUGGGGUUAGGGUAAGGUUUAAGGUUUUUGGCGUUAGGGUUAAGAUCACUGUCCAAAACCUUUUUAAAAAACGUUUUCCAACCUUUUGGAGUUAGCUGGACCAAAAAAAAAAAACGAAAAAUGAAAAAAAAUUGUUUGGGGUGUGAAGGCUUCCUUAAGGUCAUACCCGGGUAUUAGGUUACGGGGCUAGGGUAAGGUUUAAGGUUUUUAGCGUUAGGGUUAAUUUCACUGUCCAAUAUUUUUUUAGGAACAUGUUUCAGACCUUUUGGAGUUUCACCAGAAAAAAAACGAAAAAUAAUAAAAAAAAACUUUUGGUGUGUUAGGGCAUCCCUUAAGUAAUACCCGGGUAUUAGGUUACAGGGCUAGGUAAAGGUUAAAGGUUUUUGGCGUUAGGGUUAAAAUCACUGUCCAAUAUUUUUUAAGGAACAUGUUUCAGACCUUUUGGAGUUAGUUAGACCAAAGAAAAUUGAAUAAUGAAAAAAGAAUGUUUGGGGUGUAAAGGCUUCCUUAAGGUAAUACCCGGGUAUUAGGUUAAGGGGCUAGGGUCAGGUUUAAGGUUUUUGUCGUUAGGGUUAAAAUCACUGUCCAAACCUUUGUAGGACCUCUUUUCCACCCUUUUGGAGUUAGCUUGACCAAAAAAAAUGAAAUAAAAGUUUUUUGGGGUGGUAGGACUUCCUUUAGGUAAUAACCGGGUAUUAGUUUACAGGGCUAGGUAAAGGUUAAAGGUUUUUAGCGUUAGGGUUAAUUUCACUGUCCAAUAUUUUUUUAGGAACAUGUUUCAGACCUUUUGGAGUUUGACCAGAAAAAAAACGAAAAAUAAAAAUAAAAAACUUUUGGUGUGUUAGGGCAUCCCUUAGGUAAUACCCGGGUAUUAGGUUACAGGGCUAGGUAAAGGUUAAAGGUUUUUGGCGUUAGGGUUAAAAUCACUGUCCAAUAUUUUUUAAGGAACAUGUUUCAGACCUUUUGGAGUUAGUUAGACCAAAAAAAAUUGAAUAAUGAAAAAAAAAUGUUUGGGGUGUUCAGGCUUCCUGAAGGUAAUACCCGGGUAUUAGGUUAAGGGGCUAGGGUACGGUUUAAGGUUUUUGUCGUUAGGGUUAAAAUCACUGUCCAAACCUUUGUAGGACCUCUUUUCCAACCUUUUGGAGUUAGCUUGACCAAAAAAAAAAAGAAUAAUGAAAUAAAAGUUUUUUGGGGUGGUAGGGCUUCCUUUAGGUAAUAACCGGGUAUUAGUUUACAGGGCUAGGUAAAGGUUAAAGGUUUUUAGCGUUAGGGUUAAAAUCACUGUCCAAAACCUUUUUAGGAACAUGUUUCAGACCUUUUGGAGUUAGUUAGACCAAAAAAAAUGUAAUAUGAAAAAAAAUAUAUUUGGGGUGUUCAGGCUUCCUGAAGGUAAUACCCGGGUAUAAGGUUACGGGGCUAGGGUAAGGUUUAAGGUUUUUUAAAUUGAGGGUUAAAAUCACUGUCCAAGAUUUUUUAAGGAACAUGUUUAAGACCUUUUGGAGUUAGUUAGACCAAAAAAAAUGUAAAAUGAAAAAAAUAUAUUUGGGGUGUUCAGGCUUCCUGAAAGUAAUACCCGUGUAUUAGGUUAUGGGGUUAGGGUAAGGUUUAAGGUUUUUGGCGUUAGGGUUAAGAUCACUGUCCAAAACCUUUUUAGGAACCGUUUUCCAACCUUUUGGAGUUAGCUGGACCAAAAAAAAAAAAACGAAAAAUGAAAAAAAAAUUGUUUGGGGUGUGAAGGCUUCCUUAAGGUCAUACCCGGUAUUAGGUUACGGGGCUAGGGUAAGGUUUAAGGUUUUUAGCGUUAGGGUUAAUUUCACUGUCCAAUAUUUUUUUAGGAACAUGUUUCAGACCUUUUGGAGUUUGACCAGAAAAAAAACGAAAAAUAAAAAUAAAAAACUUUUGGUGUGUUAGGGCAUCCCUUAGGUAAUACCCGGGUAUUAGGUCACAGGGCUAGGUAAAGGUUAAAGGUUUUUGGCGUUAGGGUUAAAAUCACUGUCCAAUAUUUUUUAAGGAACAUGUUUCAGACCUUUUGGAGUUAGUUAGACCAAAGAAAAUUGAAUAAUGAAAAAAGAAUGUUUGGGGUGUAAAGGCUUCCUUAAGGUAAUACCCGGGUAUUAGGUUAAGGGGCUAGGGUCAGGUUUAAGGUUUUUGGCGUUAGGGUUAAAAUCACUGUCCAAACCUUUGUAGGACCUCUUUUCCAACCUUUUGGAGUUAGCUUGACCAAAGAAAAUUGAAAUAGAAGUUUUUUGGGGUGGUAGGGCUUCCUGAAGGUAUUACCCGGGUAUUAGUUUACAGGGCUAGGUAAAGGUUAAAGGUUUUUGGCGUUAGGGUUAAAAUCACUGUCCAAAACCUUUUUAGGAACAAGUUUCAGACCUUUUGGAGUUAGUUAGACCGAAAAAAAUGUAAAAUGAAAAAAAAUAUAUUUGGGGUGUUCAGGCUUCCUGAAGGUAUUACCCGGAUAUUAGGUUAUGGGGCUAGGUAAAGGUUAAAGGUUUUUUGUGUUAGGGUUAAAAUCACUGUCCAAAACCUUUUUAGGAACAAGUUUCAGACCUUUUGGAGUUAGUUAGACCAAAAAAAAUGUAAAAUGAAAAAAAAUAUAUUUGGGGUGUUCAGGCUUCCUGAAGGUAUUACCCGGAUAUUAGGUUAUGGGGCUAGGUAAAGGUUAAAGGUUUUUUGUGUUAGGGUUAAAAUCACUGUCCAAAAUCUUUGUAGGAACUCUUUUCCAACCUUUUGGAGUUAGUUAGUCAAAAAAAAAACGAAAAAUGAAAUAAAUUUUUUUUUGGGUGUUUAGGCUUCCUAAAGGUAAUACCCGGGUAUUAGGUUUCGGGGAUAGGGUUAAAAUCACUGUCCAAAACCUUUUUAGGAACAUGUUUCAGACCUUUUGAAGUUAGUUAGACCAAAAAAAACGAAAAUUAAAAAAUAAACUUUGGGGGAUGUAGGGCUUCCUUUAGGUAAUACCUUCCUUUAGGUAUUAGGUUACAGUUUAAAGGUUUUUGGCGUUAGGGUUAAAAUCACUGUCCAAAACCUUUGUAGGAUCUCUUUUCCAACCUAUAAUAAUAAUAAUAAUAAUAUUAAUAAUAAUUUUGCUUAUUGAGAAGGACUAGGUGGUAUUAGUAGGGAGGGAAUAGGGUGAAUUUUUACCUAUAGGGUGCAUUAGUGCAAAGUCUCAGAGGAUGGGGGAGAGAGAAACAGGUCUUUGGGACUGCAACCAUUCUGCUUCUUCAGGGAUUCUAGUGAUAGAGAGAGAAUAGAACUUGCCACAGUGACUAGCCAGAGAAACUCUCCUCACCUGUUGGUUUUCAUCCUCUGAUUUGAAAAAAGAGGGUGGGGGUGACUAAGCUAAGAUAGAGGUUAGUAACGUUAGGGUUAGGCUAGGGUUAGGGUUAGGGUUAGAUUUAGGUUCUAGAGGGUUAGGGUGAGGGUGAGGGUAAGGGUAAGGGUUAGUGUCUGUAGGGAGCUAACCGUGGCUAUUUGGAAGAAUUGAAAUUCAUUAAGGAAUACGACACUUCAGAUUGUCUAGACUCUGGACUCUGUUAAAGGUAGCAAAGCUAUGGUUGGAAGUAAUGAAAUUGAAGUAUAAAAUAUAUAAGGUAAGUUAUAAAUUGUUAUUGAUAAAGUAUUAUUUCAGAGUCAAAAGUCGACAGUUCCGUCUAGAACUCCCUCCACCCAGGCCUGUCUAGGCCAUAGACUCUGCUAAACUCCCUAACGCUGUGAACUAAAAAUGAUUUAGAUUAAAUUGGAAAUAUUCAUGAAUUAUUAUUUAGAAAUUAUUAAUUCAGAGUCAAAAGUGGACGGUUCUGUCUGGAACCCCUUCCACUCAGGCCUGUCUAGGCCAUAGACUCUGCUGAACUCCCUAACGCUGUGAUCUAAAAUAAAUCUUAAAGGUUAGUUAUAAAUUAUUAUUUGGAAGUUAUUAUUUCAGAGUCAAAAGUGUCAAUUUCAUUAAUAAUUGCAUAAUUUAAUUAUGUUAUAUUAUUAAUUUUAGAUCAAUAAAUAGAAUUAUUGGUCCAGAGUAUCGACUUUUCAGAAGGUUGCAUUGUUUUAGAUGGAUAAGUUUGGAGUUAAGUGGAGAUUUUUCAUAUUGAUUAUAUAGGACCUAGGGUUCACUGUAAAUUAUUAUUUCAGAGUUAGAAAGUGAGUAGGAAUUGUAGUUUAUUUAGGUAUUGGACUAUUCUUAAGUUGUAAUCCAUGAGUUAAACAAUUUUGAGUUUAAUAAGUAAGGUUAGCUCCCAAAUUGUUGCUUACAGGUGUAAAUUAGAAUGUUGUAUGAAAUUAUGUCAUCACUUUCUACACUGUUUAUUUUGUUAAAAAGUACAAACAGGAACUGUUAAAGUUAUACCCAACAUUGAAUUGAUAUUACAGUAAAACUGAGAGAAAAUUGUGUUGACUUCUGUAUAACAAAGGAAAACUGUAAUUUUGAUUGCACUGGAACCAAAUGUAUUAUAUUUAAAUCGCAAAUUUAAUUAAUAAAAAAAAAUGGUGAUAUAAAUACACAAAACUGAAUUAUAAAGUAAAUUAGAAUGAGAAAAAAAGGUGGAAUAAAAAUUGAGUGUAUAGGUGUUCCAAAACAUUUUUUAUUUGUUCAAAAAAGGUACAAUAUACAGGUAGGGGGAAAUUAAUAGGAAAAUAAAAAUAGAACUAAAAAUAAGAAAUAAAAAAUAAAAACUGGGAUAAAACAUGGAAUGUACAAUGUUUACCAUAUUAGAAAGUGGGAAAUACGAGAAUGGCAAAAACGAAAAGGUGAAAAAAGGAGACUGUAAAAAACUGGACCCAGGGAUCAAGAGGUGGGAAAUACGAGUUUGGUAAAUGGACAAAUGCUGAAAUGCUAUGUUAGAGUAGAAAUUAAAGUAAACCAUAAAAGGUGCGGGUUUUAUGGACCUUUAUUCAUGCACCAGGAUAAACCAACACUCAAAAUAGAAGACCAGAGGACCAGAUUGUGUUGAGGUAAGUGCUUAAUUAAUUAUUUUGGAAUAUCUUAUUUGUUUGAAAAAUUCUUCAAAUAAACCAUUACAUUGACCCAGCGCUGGUAUUGGACAUUAAAUUUCAGGACACGUCCUCAGUAGUGAACCUCGAAAUCAUCGGAUGUUUCGUCCGUUUUAACACUAGACAUCCUCAUUCAAGGAAGGCCCCACGGAGUCGAUCAACUUCCGUGUUGUGCCCUGUAGCCAAUUGGAGCUAUUUUAGUCCUAUUUAGUUUUGGUGCUAAGAAGUUUUAGUUGUAUGCUAGUUUGGUAGUUGCUAUUCUGUAACUAUUUAGAGUAAUUUUGAGGUGUUUGAGAGGUUUUUUGUAGACUUACCCUAGUGGUCCUAUGUUGUUGUUGAUGUGAGGCGUUUCUUUUCCAGUAGUCUAAAAUCUGUUGGAGGGGGGAAAAGGUUCCAGCUGUCCAGCCGCGGCGACGGCGGCGGGUCUGAAGUCCGGGGUCCUCGGCGGGGGAAAGAAGAUAGGCGGUCCGCGGGAAGGUUUGCUGGGACUCGGUGCCGUCGGCGGGUCGAAGAUCGGUGGCGGGCGGCUUGUAGUGAAGGAGGUGCGGCGUCUUCCUCGAGGCGGUUGUCCGUCUUCUUGGUCCAGUGGUCAGGGCUUUGUCUGAAUUACAGGAACAGGAAUUGCUCUUUAGUGCACAGCUCUUAAGAGUGCUUUCAACAGGAGAAGAAGUGGGGCUCGAGUCAUGGUUUGUGUUGUUCCUCUCAGACAUGGUUGUGUUCUCUUCUCGAUGUUUGUUCUCCAGAAUGGAUGUCUCUUUGUUGUAUUUUAAACUUUCAUGUUGUUUUAAGUUAAUUUUAAAGUAGUUUAUUUGUUUUAAAUUGAGUUUUGCUACAUUAAAUUUGUAUGCAAUCGCAAGGGAUUGUGGGUAUUUUAGUUCUGAGGGAUGAGAGCCUAAGGAAUCUAUCUUCCUGUUACAGCAAAGGAUUGUGGGUAAAACCGUGAGUGAGUGAGGUACUUCCUUUCUGGCAUGAGAGCCUUGGGAAUCAAUCUCCCUGUUGCAGCAAAGGAUUGUGGAUAAAACCGUGAGUGAGGGAGGUACAUUUUUCCUGGCAUUAGAACCUCAGGAGUCAGUCCUUCCUAAGAAAAAAAGAGGGGAGGGGGGAAGAAAAACAAAAGCACAGGAACCCUAAAAUAAAAUAAAAUAAUAUAAUAUAAAACAAUGAAAAAUUAAAAAACAAAAGAAGAACAAAAGUGGAUUGCAAAAAGGGAAGGGGAAGAAAAAAGGAAAAAAGAAGUGUCAAGAGCAAAUAGCAAAAAUCAAAAGUGAGCUUAAAAACAGAGAACAGUUCCCUAAAAGACAGACAGAAAUGUAAAUUUGAUCAAUGUCCUAAGGGAAAAUCUGUACGUGUGUGUGUGUGUUCUUUUUUGCUAGCUUAGUCUGGUGUCACUGAUGGUCAGUUAUUGAUAAGUAUUUAUUAUUUAAAUUUUUGUUGUUUGUAGUGGGGUUAGCUGGCUAAUUUUAGAGUGUUAAAAACCCGUGAAGAUGUCAAGGACAAUGUGUUGGCCUUUUUGGACUGUGCUGUACACUUGGAGGAUGAUGGGUGUCUCAACGUUGAAGUGUACAGGAAACCAACACACACGGAUCAAUAUCUACUUUUUGAUUCCCACCAUCCUCUGCAGCACAAACUGGGUGUCAUCAGAACACUCAACCACCGGGCUGAGAAUAUUCCCACGAAGAGAGAAGGUAAGGAAAAGGAACAGAAGCACAUCAAAAAUGCCCUGACAACCUGUGGAUACCCUAAGUGGGCCUUUGUGAAGAACAGAAAGAGAAAUAACACUGAACAGGAAAGGGAGGAGAGACGCAAGAGCACUGUAAUCCCUUACGUUGCAGGCCUGUCGGAAAAACUCAAGAGGAUCUUUGGCAAACACCACAUUCCUGUUCAUUUCAAGCCUGGUAACACACUAAGGCAGAAGCUAGUCCGUCCCAAGGACAAAACACCGAGACAUAAACAGAGUAAUGUGGUAUAUGCUGUCCAGUGCAGCGAGGAAUGCUCGGACCUGUACAUUGGGGAAACUAAACAACCGCUUCACAAGCGCAUGGCUCAACACAGGAGAGCCACUUCCUCAGGUCAGGACUCAGCUGUCCACCUUCACUUGAAGGAUACGGGUCACUCUUUUGAGGACAGCAAUGUACAGGUGUUGGCUCGAGAAGAAGAUGGUUUGAAAGAGGAGUUAAAGAAGCCAUCUUUACCAGGCUGGAGAAACCUUCUCUGAACAGAGGGGGUGGACUCAGGCACAAUCUCUCUGGCACUUACAAUGCAGUUCUCAGCUCUCUCCCCAGGAAGCUCCACAAACAUUCACACCUGGAACCACAUGACCCAGGUGGCAUGAGUCAUGUGGUCACAUGACAGGAGUCGCUAACGACCCUUUCAGGUUAACGACUUGGGGGGACACACACCCAGAGAUGGGUUUCUACGACCCAUUCUUUUCAACUCCACCUAGUCGUUAACUGUCCCCCUCUUCCAGUAAGAUAAAUAUCUGCUCCUGACACUAGCACUUAAAGAACUGAAGAAGCUUCUUGGAUAAGAGGCGAAACGUCUUCUCAACUCUACACAGUCCAGUUGCCUGUUUUAAGUCUUCAAAAAAAAGAAAAAAAAAUGUUUGGGGUGUUAAGGCUUCCUUAAGGUAAUACCCGGGUAUUAGGUUACGGGGCUAGGGUAAGGUUUAAGGUUUUUGGCAUUAGGGUGAAAAUCACUGUCCAAAACCUUUGAAGGUUCUCUUUUCCAACCUUUUUGAGUUCGUUAGACCAAAAAAAAAUGAAAAAUGAAAUAAACAUUUUUUGGGGUGUUAAGGCUUCCUUAAGGUAAUACUAGGUUACGGGGCUAGGGUAAGGUUUAAGGCUUUUGGCAUUAGCGUUAAAAUCACUGUCCAAAACCUUUGUAGGAACAAGUUUCAGACCUUGUGGAGUUAGUUACACCAAAAAAAAAAUGUAAAAUGAAAAAAAAAUAUUUGGGGUGUUCGGGCUUCCUGAAGGUAAUACCCGGGUAUUAGGUUAUGGGGCUAUGGUAAGGUUUAAGGUUUUGGGCGUUAGGGUUAAAAUCACUUUCCAAAACCUGUGUAGGAACUCUUUUCCAACCUUUUGGAGUUAGUUAGACCAAGAAAAAAUGAAAAAUAAAAAAAAUAUGUUUGGGGUGUUCGGGCUUCCUGAAGGUAAUACCCGGGUAUUCGAUUAUGGGGCUAGAGUAAGGUUUAAGGUUUUUGGCGUCAGGGUUAAAAUCACUGUCCAAAACCUUUUAAGGAACUCUUUUCCAACCUUUUGGAGUUAGUUAGACCAAAAAAAAAACGAAAAAUGAAAAAAAAUAUAUUUAGGGUGUUCGGGCUUCCUGAAGGUAUUACCCGGGUAUUAGGUUAUGGGGCUAGGGUAAGGUUUAAGGUUUUUGGCAUUAGGGUUAAAAUCACUGUCCAAAACCUUUGUAGGAACAAGUUUCAGACCUUUUGGAGUAAGUUACACCAAAAAAAAAGUAAAAUGAAAAAAAAAUAUUUGGGGUGUUCGGGCUUCCUGAAUGUAAUACCCGGGUAUUAGGUUAUGGGGCUAUGGUAAGGUUUAAGGUUUUGGGCGUUAGGGUUAAAAUCACUUUCCAAAACCUGUGUAGGAACAUGUUUCAAACCUUUUGGAGUUAAUUAGACCAAAAAAAACGAAAAAUGAAAAAAAAAAUGUUUUGGGUGUUAGGGCUUCCUAUAGGUAAUACCCGGGUAUUGGGAUACAGGGCUAGGGUAAGGAUUAAGGUUUUUGGGGUUAGGGUUAAAAUCACUGUCCAAAACCUUUUUAGGAACAUGUUUUAAACAUUGUGGAGUUAAUUAGACAAAAAAAAAAAAACGAAAAAUGAAAAAAAAAAUGUUUGGGGUGUUAGGGCUUCCUUUAGGUAAUACCCGGGUAUUGGGAUACAGGGCUAGGGUAAGGAUUAAGGUUUUUGGGGUUAGGGUUAAAAUCAAUGUCCAAGACCUUUUUGUUACAUGUUUCAGACCUUUUGGAGUUAGUUAGUCCAAAAACAUGAAAAAAUAAAAGUUUGGGGUGUCAGGGCUUCCUAUUAAUAAUACCCGGGUAUUGGGCUACGGGGCUAGGGUAAGGUUUAAGGUUUUUGGGGUGAUGGUUAAAAUCACUGUCCAAGACCUUUUUAGGAACAUCUUUCAAACCUUUUGGAGUUAGUUAGUCAAAAAAAAAAAGAAAAAAAAAUGUUUGGGGUGUUAGGGCUUCUUUUAGAUAAUACCCGGGUAUUAAGUUACGGGGCUAGGGUUAGGUUUAAGGUUUUUGGGGUUAGGGUUAAAAUCACUGUCCAA